AGGAAGGAAGGAAGGAAGGAAGGAAGGAAGGAAGGAAGGAAGGAAGGAAGGAAGGAAGGAAGGGGAAGGGAAGGGAGGGAGGAAGGAAAGAAAGGAGGGCAACUCUACACUCUCAUACACUUGUUCAUACACUUGUUCAAGGACACCAGGAUUCCUUUCUAUCGUCUGCAAAAUAGUACUUAAGGGACUUUAAUUCCCCUACUUCCGGCUCUCGGGACAUAAUGGUUUAAAAUUCCUGGCAAUUGAACCUGGACCCACACUUUCUUUUUCCUCCUCAUCCUGUGUCAUCGCUCUCCUUGCUGUCAGCACCCUGGCAGGCAUCUGGCAACACAGCUGGAACCAGAGUAUGCCCGGGUGCCACAACACCUGCCUCGCCUGGCUGAUCCUUUAGAAUCCAAAGGCGUUCAUUUUUAGAGAGGAGCAGUGAAGGCUUACGGUAUCAGCAGUGCUACCUGCUUCGUGAUCUGAGCAAAUAACAGGGCGAAGGCUCAACUCUAACUCGGUGCCGUGAUGAAUUACUCAGUGCCUGCUGCGGGCCGGGGGCUGGAGAUCCCCUGCGAGGAAGUUUUUAGCUGGGAACUUUCUGUAAGCUUUCCAGGAAUGAGCCGGAGAGGGAACACUCAAGUUGGGGCUUGCUGAUAAUACACCAGUCACACAGCUGCUCCAUUCCCACAUAAAUUUAGUCCUUGGCUGGUCACACUGACACAUUUCCCUGAAGGUGGCCAGAGGGCUCAUGCAGCCAGCCGGUUAUGAAACACCGAGAAGUAUAAAAGCCUGCUAGCCCUCUGGGCUGUUUUUCCCCUGACAGAGAUGGGGGCUGUGAGCAGGCUUGUCCCCUUGGCCCUUUUCAUCGUGCCGUGUUUGGCAGAGUUCAACUGGACCCAGUCUGAAGGUAGGCUUCAUGCCUAGUGCAGAGCCCAACACAAGGCUCUUGACCCUGAGAUCAAGACCUGAGCUGAGAUCAAGAGUCGGAUGCUUAACCUACUAACCAACCUGACUAUGCCUCUUCAUAAGUUCUUCAUACAUUUUGGAUACUAACCCCUUAUCAUUAAGUACUAAGCUACACGGCCGUAUGGGGAUCCGAGGCAGGAGGUGAAGACCCACAAAGCCCUGGUCCUGCAACUCAAUGCCACGAGGACUGUACCUGGACACUUGAAAGACCAGAACAUGAAAGCAUCAGACUCACCUUUCCUGCUUCAAGUAGAGACUUUGGUCUUCUAAAAAGGAUGGCUGAAGACUCUGGCCAUACUGACAAAUCUCUGUGGAAAGAUGUCAGCUGCGCCCAGAAGUUGUGGUAGGAAAACCCACAACCCAGCUGACGAUGGGAAUGGCUGACAGCCCCUGACCGGACUGUGCUCCCCGACUGGCUCACAUGGAGGCUGAGAACUUGUCUCAGGUCACAUAACCGCAGCACUUCACACCGGAAACACACGAGAGAAGGCCUCUGGCAAGAACCUGUAUCUGCUCAGGAAAGGAGGGGACUGUACACUUUCUGGGUUUACUGAGAUCAAACAGGAUGAAUUCUCUCAAUUUACCUCAAACGCUAAGUCUAAAGUAAUAAUCCCAACAAGGAAAAGGCCGGUUCUGAUGUUUACUUUCUACCUACUGCUACGCUUUAUUGAAACAGAUAAUAACGGCCCCGGUGCAUACGUAUGCAUGCCAAACACAAUGCCUCAGCUGUUAUCCGAGCGUAAACACCACCCGAUCAGUGAUCUGAAUGAAAGGCUUUUAAGUCUUAGGUA